GCAUGGCCUGGAACUCUGAAUCGUAGCGCUGGUUGAUGUUGUCCCCAAUGAUGGCGAGCUGCCGACCCACCUGCCCCAUGGUGCUGCAGAACAGGAGGCAGGCCUGUUAGCUACGAACACUUCCUGAGCACCUAUGGUAUACUUCUACUGCUCCCCCAGGGGUGUCAGACACUGAAAAUGCACAUUAACCCAGCAAGUUUGUGGACCUCAGAGGUUACCCUUUCAAGACAGUCACCUGUUUACAUCCUACCUUGGCUUGGCUCUUCCCAUUCCUGCCUUGCCGUGAGCUGAGGAAGUCUUCUCCACAGCUCUCCCACCCCGCCCCCCACCUGACAUAUGUGUCCCCAC